rnacentral:rRNA from 1 species
GACGAACGCUGGCGGCGUGGAUUAGGCAUGCAAGUCGAACGGUAUCAUCCUUUCGGGGGUGAGAGAGUGGCGAACUGGUGAGUAACACGUAGGUUAUCUACCCUCAAGACGGGGACAACCCAGGGAAACUUGGGCUAAUACCGGAUGUGAGCAACUUUUAGUUGUUUGAAAGGUGGCGUAAGCUGUCGCUUGGGGAUGAGCCUGCGUCCUAUUAGUUAGUUGGUGAGGUAACGGCUCACCUAGGCAAUGAUAGGUAGGCGGCCUUAACGGGUGGUCGCCCACACUGGGAUUGAGAUACGGCCCAGACUCCUACGGGAGGCAGCAGUCGAGAAUAGUCUACAAUGGUCGGAAGACUGAUAGUGCGACGCCGCGUGAACGAUGAAUCCCUUCGGGGUUAAAGUUCUUUUAUAUGUGAGCAGUGCUUCUUAUAUUAACAGUAUGGGGAAGAGAUAUUAGCAUAUGAAUAAGCAACGGCUAACUCCGUGCCAGCAGCCGCGGUAAGCCU